GUGAGGAAUUUUCCGCAAUGGGCGAAAGCCUGACGGAGCAAUGCCGCGUGAAGGAUGAAGGCCUAUGGGUUGUAAACUUCUUUUCUCAGAAAAGAAUUAUGACGGUAUCUGAGGAAUAAGCAUCGGCUAACUCUGUGCCAGCAGCCGCGGUAAGACAGAGGAUGCAAGCGUUAUCCGGAAUGAUUGGGCGUAAAGCGUCUGUAGGUUGUUUAAAAAGUAUUCUGUCAAAGAUUAGGGCUUAACCCUAGAUAGGCAGAAUAAACUUGUAAGCGAGAGUUUGGUAGAGGCAGAGGGAAUUCCCGGUGGAGCGGUGAAAUGCGUAGAUAUCGGGAGGAACACCAAAGGCGAAGGCACUCUGCUGGGCCAAUACUAACACUGAGAGACGAAAGCGAGGGGAGCAAAUGGGAUUAGAAACCCUAGUAGUCC
rnacentral:rRNA from 1 species